UACGUAGGGGGCAAGCGUUGUCCGGAAUCAUUGGGCGUAAAGAGCGUGUAGGCGGCCCGAUAAGUCCGCCGUGAAAGUCCAGGGCUCAACCCUGGAAUGCCGGUGGAUACUGUCGGGCUAGAGUCCGGAAGGGGCGAGUGGAAUUCCUGGUGUAGCGGUGAAAUGCGCAGAUAUCAGGAGGAACACCGAUGGCGAAGGCAGCUCGCUGGGACGGUACUGACGCUGAGACGCGAAAGCGUGGGGGAGCGAACAGG
rnacentral:rRNA from 1 species